rnacentral:rRNA from 1 species
GAUGAACGCUGGCGGCGUGCCUAAUACAUGCAAGUCGAGCGAACAGACGAGGAGCUUGCUCCUCUGACGUUAGCGGCGGACGGGUGAGUAACACAUGGAUAACCUACCUAUAAGACUGGGAUAACUUCGGGAAACCGGAGCUAAUACCGGAUAACAUGUUGAACCGCAUGGUUUAACAGUGAAAGACGGUCUUGCUGUCACUUAUAGAUGGAUCCGCGCCGCAUUAGCUAGUUGGUAAGGUAACGGCUUACCAAGGCAACGAUGCGUAGUCGACCUGAGAGGGUGAUCGGCCACACUGGAACUGAGACACGGUCCAGACUCCUACGGGAGGCAGCAGUAGGGAAUCUUUCGCAAUGGGCGAAAGCCUGACGGAGCAACGCCGCGUGAGUGAAGAAGGUCUUCGGAUCGUAAAACUCUGUUAUUAGGGAAGAACAAAUGUGUAAGUAACUAUGCACGUCUUGACGGUACCUAAUCAGAAAGCCACGGCUAACUACGUG